rnacentral:rRNA from 1 species
UGCCGGCGACCGGCGACGGGUGCGUAACGCGUAUGUAACCUACCUUUGACAGGGGGAUAACAUCGAGAAAUUGGUACUAAUACCCCAUAACAUCACCGGAGGCAUCUUCGGUGGUUGAAAACUCAGGUGGUCAGAGAUGGACAUGCGUUGUAUUAGCUAGUUGGUGAGGUAACGGCUCACCAAGGCGACGAUACAUAGGGGGACUGAGAGGUCAACCCCCCACAUUGGUACUGAGACACGGCCCAGACUCCUACGGAAGGCAGCAG